rnacentral:tRNA from 1 species
GGAAGAUGGCUCAGUGGUUAAGAGCACUGAUCACUCUUUCAGAGGACCUAGGUUCAAUUCCUAGCAUCCA